AAAGACUUUCUGUAGAGGAUCCAGCUGAUGUUAGAAGUUAGAUGAUUCCCAUUUCCAUUGGACUCUAGCCGGAUGUUUCCUGGCAGAUUGAUCCACAUCUGGGCCGUAUUCCUAAAGAUUCUAAGAACCUCUCAGAGCUCCUAGCAAGGAGUUUCAGGUCAACAGUGAUUCCAGAACAUUCUCAGAAGGAAUGGACAGAAACGCGUCUCAGUGAGGAGGUCUGGGCGACUGUUGCUAGGCUUUGUUUUGUAUUAACGGGGUGAAACCGGCCUAUAGAAGCAGCGUUGGUCGGCAUCCAGAUCCACCACAAACCAGUGGACCGAGAACAGAAGCUGGACAGAGGAGCAGCGUUUGCUCCUGCAUCAGCUGGUCAGCAUCAGCUCGUUUCUCAGGUAGAAUCCACAAACAAACACGAACACCGUCCAGUGUGUAGCGUUGAGUUAAUUCCCCGUCAUCCAGUGUUACAGAGCAUCUCUCCGUCUGCUUCCUCCACCAUUCCUCCUCUGCUCAGGGAACUCCUGAGCCUCUUACAAGUCCAUCUCACCUGAGGAGCUCUCUGAAGAUCUGAGGCUCUUCAGGAAUACCUUUCAUCUCUACUAGGAUCUACUCUUCACUUUGAGGGGGAAUU